UAAGAUGGAAACCUUUGAGAAAACCCUACCAUCGAUCUGAUGCCUGACACAUGUAGUGUCCCUGGAGUGUUACGUAGGGUUGUUGAGACAGGACACUCAUCCAAUUACCAAUUUUGAUGGACUUUGCAGAUUGUGAACUCACAAACACAUAAGCCACCUGAGCAAGUGAGAGAGAGUGUGUCAGAGAGCAAUGCCCAGGUGUUGUAUGCAGCCCGCGGAUGUCUGGGUGAAGAGUAUUAUGGAGAAUACUGUGAAAAGGAGCCUUCAGCUUUCACUGGAGCUGAUCUUUAAUCAAGAUCCUUUUUGAGGUCAAAUUUGAAAAACUGUAUUUGGUUUAAAAUUUCAUUUUGUUGAUUAUCAUAUCUCAUAAAACAGCUGCCAUUGUGGUCCCCAUUAUACUUGGGGUCAUCCUAUUAGAGGCAGUUAUUGUUGUGUUCCUAUUUCUGCAAAGAAGAAGUAUGGGCAAGGCCCUAACUGCAUUUGAAUGGGGAGGGGGUGAAUUCAGACUGGGGCACCUGCAGGAACUGGCUUUCCAUGGAGAAAAGGUUGUGGCCAUCAGCAUGCCAGACUUAGCAUAUGACAGCUCUGUGGCACAGAAUGGAGUAAAUAGCUUCAAUAACUGGAAAUUUUCUUUUUAUUCAUUAGUCUAAAGUGCUUGUCUUUUUUGAAGACUACAACAAACCAAAAAACGUGCUAAACCUAAAACAGGGCAUGGCCAGCCCCAAUGACCCACUCAUUCCAAUGGGGUAGCAGACAACCAGUCAUCAGAGAUCACAGUCCAUAUACCACAUAAAGAAUGUAUUAAUUACUUUAAAAUGUGAGGGGAAAUGAUACAGCUCAGUCAGUGUAGCAAGUGGAGUUGAUAUGAUUCCAGAUGAAAAUACAAAACAGCAAUUUGCAGUUUGUUUUAAAACAUCAUCCUAGAAAUAUAUCUGUGUUGGAUUCCUUGGUGUACUCAACAUUCCAAGAACUAUUGUCUUGGUUCAGAAACGGGUAGAAGAUAAAUUUAUAUUUAAUAGCAUACAAGACAUGUUGAUGGUUUUUUCCUUCUGGCUUUGAACUAUAUGUCAUGUGACAUUUAAUAGACGUCUUCGGAUGGUAAUUUUAUCAAUAUUUGAUCAAUACAAAAGCUUUAAGAAGGCUGGAAGAAAAUUAGUCCCUCUCCAUUGCAACAUUACUUAUAUAUGAUUUUUAUUUACAGACAGAAGUGUCUGAACAUAUUGCUGUCACAUGCGUCUGUCAUCACCGUCUUUGCCAUGCACUUUCAGUGUUAUAACGAUAAGUAGAAAACUAUUUUGUCUGCAAACUUACAAAACUGAUGAAUAUUCAUAUACUGGAUGAGUUUGAAAAUCAGCUUUAUUUUUAUAAUUUUUACAACAUUCAUUUUUUUUUUUUUUUGUAUAAGUGGUUUUUCCUCAGGUUCAAUUCUUAGUCAUAAACGUCUCAUUAUUGAACAUAUUACAAACAUAAAUUUGAUAAAUGUGUUCUUUUGACAAAUUCUGCAUUUUAACAAUUUUGUUAGUUGAUUAUAUAAAAAUGAUGGUAAAUCUGUUAUCAUGUCUUGUGAAAUAAAGAGUCAAAAUUGGAAAAUAAAAUUAUAUCAGUGCAGUUUGUCAAAUUCAAUCCUUCGCUAUGUUUAUAAUUUCAAAAUGAAGCAAAUUGGAUAUUUAAAAUUGUUCAAUUGAUGUAUUUUUUAUUUGUUUGAAUAGAGGCCUGUUGAUACCAUAUUGCUGUACUUGAAAUUUUGUUUGUUCUUUUAGUGUUAGUGCAUUGUUCUUUAAGUAUGAGAUAUAUUAAUUUUGAUUUUUAGAUACUUGUCAAACAGUAUUUUUUUUGUUUUUGAGAG